AAUUGAAUAGUCGCGGAUGCAAUAUCGAAAGAUAGCAUAUGAGGAAAGUCCGGGCUCCAUAGAGCAAUAGUGCUGGGUAACGCCCAGUAAGGGAAACCUUAAGGAAAGUGCAACAGAAAAUAACCGCCUAAUUUUAGGUAAGGGUGAAAAGGUGAGGUAAGAGCUCACCAGUAGUAUGGUGACAUACUAUGUUUGUGUAAACCCCACUUGGAGCAACACCUUUUAAAGAGAAGAUAAAUGCUGCUCGCAGACUUCUUGCUAGGUGGCUUGAGAUAAGUAGUAAUACUUAUCCUAGAUAAAUGACUAUUCAAGACAGAACCCGGCUUAUAGAUUUACUUU
rnacentral:RNase_P_RNA from 1 species